CCUACGGGAGGCAGCAGUGGGGAAUAUUGCACAAUGGGGGAAACCCUGAUGCAGCGACGCCGCGUGAGUGAAGAAGUAAUUCGUUAUGUAAAGCUCUAUCAGCAGGGAAGAAAAUGACGGUACCUGAGUAAGAAGCCCCGGCUAACUACGUGCCAGCAGCCGCGGUAAUACGUAGGGGGCAAGCGUUAUCCGGAUUUACUGGGUGUAAAGGGAGCGUAGACGGCAGUGCAAGUCUGGAGUGAAAGGCGGGGGCUCAACCCGCGGACUGCGCUGGAAACUGUACGGCUGGAGUGCAGGAGAGGUAAGUGGAAUUCCUAGUGUAGCGGUGAAAUGCGUAGAUAUUAGGAGGAACACCAGUGGCGAAGGCAGCUUACUGGACUGUAACUGACGUUGAGGCUCGAAAGCGUGGGGAGCGAACAGGAUUAGAUACCCUAGUAGUC
rnacentral:rRNA from 1 species